rnacentral:tRNA from 1 species
GUCCCCGUAGCUCAACGGAUAGAGUGUUAGCCUCCGGAGCUAAAAAUGCUGGUUCGAUUCCAGCCGGGGACG